rnacentral:rRNA from 1 species
GGACGGGUGAGUAACGCGUGAGUAACCUGCCUCUGAGAGGGGAAUAACAUUCUGAAAAGAAUGCUAAUACCGCAUAACAUAUAUUUAUCGCAUGGUAGAUAUAUCAAAGAUUUAUCGCUUAGAGAUGGACUCGCGUCCGAUUAGUUAGUUGGUGAGGUAACGGCUCACCAAGACCGCGAUCGGUAGCCGGACUGAGAGGUUGAACGGCCACAUUGGGACUGAGACACGGCCCAGACUCCUACGGGAGGCAGCAGUGGGGGAUAUUGCGCAAUGGGGGAAACCCUGACGCAGCAACGCCGCGUGAAGGAUGAAGGUCUUCGGAUUG